GUAUGUUUUCGUUUGUUCGUUCAAUUGAAAUUAUUGAAAAGAUUGGAAACAUACUGUACAUAACACAUUUUGAUUAGCUUGUAUCAAACAUUGGACUGUAAAAACUAAUUCGUAAUUAAAUCUUCAAAUAUACAACUUGAUGCUAUGAAAGAAAACAGUCUCUCGUUAAUGUACAUAACAGUUAAUUGAACUUCUAAUUGUUAUGAUAUAUUUGACUAAAUAAGAACUGUAGUUGUGCCUGGACCGUGUUGCUGUGUAGCUAUAUUACAAAAGGUUUGUUUUGAGUGUAAAAUCUUCCCACCAGAGAUCACAUAAUCAGUUUUUGUUUACUUGAGUAGUACGUGUGCAAAGUUACACAUUACACAUACAUUGUAUUUUGUCUCUGAUUCCC